CCAAGCUGUCUUGUUCAGUGGUUUUCCGUUGCACAUGCGUACAUAGCAUGCAUGCGCAACGGGAGAUCAACGGAUAAGAUAGUUAUU
rnacentral:pre_miRNA from 1 species